rnacentral:rRNA from 1 species
UACAGAGGCCUCAAGCGUUAGGCGGAAUCACUGGGCUUAAAGCGUGUGUAGGCGGAUCGUUAAGUGCCUUGUGAAAUCCCACGGCUCAACCGUGGAACUGCUUGGCAUACUGGCGGUCUUGAGCCAUCUAGGGGCUACUGGAACAAACGGUGGAGCGGUGAAAUGCGUAGAUAUCGUUUGGAACGCCAAUGGUGAAAACAGGUAGCUGGGGAUGUGCUGACGCUGAGACACGAAAGCCAGGGGAGCAAACGGG